rnacentral:misc_RNA from 1 species
GAUGAAGAACGUAGCGAAAUGCGAUACGUAAUGUGAAUUGCAGAAUUCAGUGAAUCAUCGAAUCUUUGAACGCAUAUUGCGCUCUUUGGUAUUCCGAAGAGCAUGCUUGUUUGAGUAUCAGUAAACACCUCAAAGCUUUUGGAUUUUUUAAUCGAAAAGCUUUGGACUUGAGCAAUCCCAACACCAAUCUUUUUGAGAUCGGUGGCGGGUUGCUUGAAAUGCAGGUGCAGCUGGACAUUCUCCUGAGCUAAAAGCAUAUUCAUUUAGUCCCGUCAAACGGAUUAUUACUUUUGCUGCAGCUAACAUAAAGGGAGUUUGACCGUAUUGGCUGACUGAUGCAGGAUUUCACAAGGGUCAGCAACGAUUCUUGUUAAACUCGAUCUCAAAUCAAGUAAGACUACCCGCUGAACUUAAGCAUAUCAAUAAGCGGAGGA